rnacentral:lncRNA from 1 species
AAUGUUAAUAUCUUGGGUUUGGGGAGUGAGAAAGAUGAGAAAGAUGAAUAAAAGAGUGUCAAUAGAAAAGAAAACUCUAGGGACAAAAGGAAAGUAUGAAGCUCUAGAUUAUGUACAAAAGAACCUUCCCCCUUGAAAAAAAAAGAGAAGAAUCAAAGAGAAGGUGGGGAGGGAAAUGAGAAAGAGUUAGAGCUAAGUGUUGUAAAAAGUGAAUUAAAAUCUCUAGGUUGUUGAGUCAAAAGAAAAGGAGAGUUGUUCAUUUGGUGAGUGAUGUGAGUGGGUGUUAUUUUAGUUUUGAGAUGAUGAUAAAAAGGGUAGAACUUGUAAUCACUUAUAAAAAGGGGUAGAAUGAUGAGAAUGAAUCUAUGUAUGCAUGAGUUGCUUCUAGUCUUAGAUAAAUUUUGCAUAAUGAUCAAGCUCCUUGUUUUUGAGUGAUAACCACCUUGAAUUGACAAUAUUUGAACCCUUAUCCUCAUUCACAUUAGACCAUUGCUUACCUAGCCAAAUGAUUGAGAUCAUGUGCCCAUUUGUGAGAAUUCACCUUGUGUGUGUGUGAAUCAAUGUGAGAGCUGGUUGAAGGAACUUGUUAGUUGAUGAGUAUUGCAACUUGUGUAGAGGCAUAAGAGUAUGGAUAGGUCUAGAGAAGCUAGAGUAUAAUAAGAGAGUUGCUCAUGCUAUUUGCUAUGUUUCUUUAGGAUGUCAAGUUGAGUGCAUUGAGUGUUUCUUUUGGCUAAGCUCCCAUCUUUGUAUCUCUCCUCCUUGUGUUUUGAAAAGUUUACUUGAGGACAAGUAAAGGACUAGUGUGGGGGAGUUGAUAUGUUGCAUAUUUACAUGUUUUUAGCCUUCAUAUCUUGUACAUUCUGAUCAUAUAGAUUAGGAAUUAGGCAUCUUUAGAGUCCAUAUUGCAUGCAUUGUCUUUAUUAGGUGUUGGAGCUAUGGAGUGAUUGGAGAUGAUUGGGAGCAUUGUGAUUCAAAAAGAAGUAGAAAAUGAUCAUUGGUCGAGUAGAGGAGCUGGAGCGAAAUACUGGAGCGAGGUGAGCAACCCGCUCUAACCUAGAGCGACCUCUCGCAGCGACAUCAUCAACCCGCUCGACAUUUCGUCGCGAUACGAGCAUGAUCUGGAGCGGGCGAG